UGGCUCAUUAAAUCAGUUAUGAUCUACGUGACAUAUUCUUUACUACUUGGAUAACCGUGGUAAUUCUAGAGCUAAUACAUGCAAAAAAGCCCUGACUUCGGAAGGGGUGCACUUAUUAGAUAAAGCCAACGCUGGGUAAAACCAGUUUCCCUUGGUGAUUCAUAAUAAUUAAGCGGAUCGCAUGGCCUUGUGCUGGCGACGGUCCACUCGAUUUUCUGCCCUAUCAUGGUUGAGAUUGUAAGAUAGAGGCUUACAAUGCCUACAA
rnacentral:rRNA from 1 species